UACGAAGGGGGCUAGCGUUGUUCGGAAUCACUGGGCGUAAAGCGCACGUAGGCGGAUAUGUAAGUCAGAGGUGAAAGCCCAGGGCCUAACCUUGGAACUGCCUUUGAAACUACAUAUCUAGAGACUCGGAGGGGAUAGCGGAAUUCCAAAUGUAGGGGUGAAAUCCGUAGAUAUUUGGAGGAACACCGGUGGCGAAGGCGGCUAUCUGGACGAGUACUGACGCUGAGGUGCGAAAGCGUGGGGAGCAAACAGG
rnacentral:rRNA from 1 species